rnacentral:rRNA from 1 species
GAUGAACGCUGACAGAAUGCUUAACACAUGCAAGUCUUUGGCGAAGCUGUGCUCGCCCAGCCUAGCCAAGGCGGACGGGUGAGUAACGCGUAAGGAACUUGCCCUGCAGUCAGGGAUAACAGACGGAAACGACUGAUAAGACCUGGUAAAGUCAGGCGGACUCAUGUCCAGCCUGAUGAAAAGAGAUGCUGCAGGAGAGCCUUGCGUCCUAUUAGCUUGUUGGUGGGGUAACGGCCCACCAAGGCGAUGAUCGGUAGCCGGCCUGAGAGGGUGGACGGCCACAAGGGGACUGAGAUACGGCCCUUACUCCUACGGGAGGCAGCAGUGGGGAAUAUUGGACGAUGGGGGCAACACUGAUGCAGCAGUUCUGUGUGCACGAUGAAGGUUUUCGGAGUGUAAAGUGCUUUCAGCAGGGAAGAAAAAAAUGACGGUACCUGCAGAAGAAGCGACGGCUAAAUACGUG